CCUAGAAGCUUUUAGAUGUGCAUUUUGAAUACCAUAUUCUCUUCAGUUCACCAGAGUUUUUGAAGAAAAAAAAAAAAAGAGCACUGGAUCAUCGCCUGCUUCUUCUUUUGUUCACCUAACUAUGAUAUCCAUCUGAAAAGAUCUUGGAAAAUUCUAAUUUAAGUACUGACAUUUAUAAGUAUUUACUGAGCUCAUCAUGGGCAGGUACAAGGAAGCCUCGUCAUCCUGCUCAAAGCCAGAUAUUCCCAGCUAUCGCACUCCAGUGAGGCUCCCAUGGCAGGAUGAAGCUGAUUCAGAUAAUGGGAAGAUGAAGAUAAAGAAAGGAUGACUGAAAGGGAACCCUGGGACAGGAAGUCAGGAAGAUGGACCUGAAUUAUGUAAAGAUGAGAGGUUUCUUCAGAGUGAUGGAGUUUGGACGGUACUACCCCCCAAAUAUAGCACCUUGUCAUUGAGAAAACAGCAGAAGCCAUUCUCAUAACCCCCUCUUUCCUGAAGCAGGUCAUAAAACCUAGGAAGGUUGCUUCUCCUGCUCCUUUCCCUAACGCAGGAGGUAAGACCCUCAUUCAAGAGGUACCCACCCUACACCUGCAGGAAAGGAACAUCCGUAUUUCUGAAGAUAGGGGGAUACAGAGAAGAAUCAAACAGGCUUUGCUAAGUUUGCCCUAAUUUAUUACCACUUCUCUAUCGUACCCACUCUGUCCAAUCAUGCCUUUGCAUGACUAAUUACUUCUUCACCAAACUUAAGGAUAAAAAUACAUAGUUUUCUCUGUUUCUUUGUAUCCUCACUUCUGAAGGCUCCUGUCUUAUGUAAAGCUUAUUAAAUAAAGUCUGCACUUUUCUCUUGUUAA